GACAGAGGGUGCAAACGUUGUUCGGAAUUAUUGGGCGUAAAGCGCGUGUAGGCGGCUUGUUAAGUUGGUUGUGAAAACCCAUGGCUCAACCAUGGAAGGGCGUCCAAAACUGGCAAGCUAGAGUCCCGACGAGGAUGGCGGAAUUCCCAGUGUAGAGGUGAAAUUCGUAGAUAUUCGCAAGAACACCAGUGGCGAAGGCGGCUUACUGGUCCGGUUCUGACGCUGAGGCGCGAAAGCGUGGGGAGCAAACAGG
rnacentral:rRNA from 1 species